GGUUUCAUGUUGCAGUGGUAGCACACACAUCUCUCAGACUGACUCACUAGCUGACUGUUGUGAAACACGGGUUCGACUCCCGUUGAAACUC